rnacentral:rRNA from 1 species
AGAGUUUGAUCAUGGCUCAGAGCGAACGCUGGCGGCGUGCUUAACACAUGCAAGUCGAGUGCGCGUCUGUAGCAAUACAGAUGGCGCACGGCGCACGGGUGCGUAACACGUGGGUAAUCUGCCCUUCGAAGGGGAAUAACUCGCCGAAAGGCGAGCUAAUUCCGCAUAACAUUCCGAGAACCUUGGUUUUUGGAUUCAAAGGCGUAAGUCGUCGGAGGAGGAGCCCGCGCACGAUUAGCUAGUUGGUAGGGUAACGGCCUACCAAGGCUAUGAUCGUUAGCUGGUCUGAGAGGAUGGCCAGCCACACUGGAACUGAGACACGGUCCAGACUCCUACGGGAGGCAGCAGUGGGGAAUCUUGCACAAUGGGCGAAAGCCUGAUGCAGCGACGCCGCGUGGGGGAUGAAGCUUCUCGGAGUGUAAACCCCUUUCGACCCGGACGAAUGCCCCGCAAGGGGACUGACGGUACGGGUAUAAGAAGCCCCGGCUAACUACGUGCCAGCAGCCGCGGUAAGACGUAGGGGGCCAGCGUUGCUCGGAAUUACUGGGUGUAAAGGGUUCGUAGGCGGUGUGGCAAGUCGGGAGUGAAAUCUCUGGGCUCAACCCAGAGUCUGCUUCCGAAACUGCUGUGCUUGAGUGUGGGAGAGGCGCGUGGAAUUGCAGGUGUAGCGGUGAAAUGCGUAGAUAUCUGCAGGAACACCCGUGGCGAAAGCGGCGCGCUGGACCACUACUGACGCUGAGGAACGAAAGCUAGGGGAGCAAACAGGAUUAGAUACCCUGGUAGUCCUAGCCCUAAACGAUCAGGACUUGGGGUGCCACCCGUUCGGGUGUCGUCCCGGAGCUAACGCGUUAAGUCCUGCACCUGGGGAGUACGGUCGCAAGACUGAAACUCAAAGGAAUUGACGGGGCCCGCACAAGCGGUGGAC